rnacentral:rRNA from 1 species
GAUGAACGCUAGCGGCAGGCUUAACACAUGUAAGUCGAGGGGUAGGGGCUUUCGGGCCUUGAGACCGGCGCACGGGUGCGUAACGCGUAUGCAAUCUGCCUUGUACUGGGGGAUAGCCCAGAGAAAUUUGGAUUAAUACCCCAUAGUAUUUUCGGUUGGCAUCAACUGAUUAUUAAAGUUUUUCGGUACAAGAUGAGCAUGCGUCCCAUUAGCUAGUUGGUAUGGUAACGGCAUACCAAGGCUACGAUGGGUAGGGGUCCUGAGAGGGAGAUCCCCCACACGGGUACUGUGACACGGACCAGACUCCUACGGGAGGCAGCAGUGAGGAAUAUUGGUCAAUGGUCGCAAGACUGAACCAGCCAGGCCGCGUGCAUGAUGAAGCAUCUAUGGUGUGUAAACUGCUUUUGUACGGGAAGAAACACUGCUACGUGUAGCAGCUUGACGGUACCGUAAGAAUAAGUAUCGGCUAACUCCGUGCCAGCAGCCGCGGUAACAC